AAAAUACUAAGGAGAAAGGGAUAUGAUAAGAAGAGAUGUCAUCUUCUUGAGUUUUUUAUAAAUCCUAUUGAUUCCUUCAAUGUCUAAGUAGCAGUGUUCAUCUUCUAAUGUAGUACAGACAUUUUUGAUCCAGAGUCUCUCUUCCACCUGUCUUCUCUACUAGGUUCUGAUGUUCCUUUGAUGUGUGUUUCAUUAUGGUAUUUCUCUCUCUAAUGGCCCAUAAAUAUCACAAAAGCCUAUUUUUCCAUAUUGCUUUCCUUAAGUAGUUGUAUUUGCUUAUCUUUUCCGAGUAACUAUUAAUUCAAAGUACCCUGAUAGCAGCAGGUGGCGCUAGGAAAAUUCAACAACAUUUCUGAUCUCAACCUGGGAUGAAAGCUCAUUUCUGGUGUAGGCUUCCUGUCAGAGCUGACUGUGAGAAAGGCAAAGGAAACAGUGAUCUCCCUAUGAGCUUACAGCACCAGUUUUUUAAAUUGGAAGGAAAUUCACAUGUAUAUGAAUAUAGGAAGAGUAUUUGGGACUCUUGUAAGCUGUCCUUAAAAUGAAACACUCAACACCUUCUUUUCCUUGUAUAGCGGUCCUAAACAAUGAAAAACUGUCUCAUUAGGUUGUUUCUACCUCCUCUCUAAUGGUUCUUGUUCAGUUUAGAGCUCAGCAUUCUUGUUUUCCAUCAGCCUAGCUAGCUUUCUUGAUACACAGAAUUUCUUAAGCACUUGAAACAAAUGGCAUUGCACAGAUAAUAAGUAUGCUCUCUAUUAAACUCUGUACCAAGUUCUUUAGCCAAAUCAAAUGAUAGCUCUUGGCACCAUCCUGGGAUCUGACCACACUUUCCAUACUGAAAUUUGUAUCCACCAGAGAUGGUGUAUGUUGUUUCUUCCAGGAAAGUCAUUUGGUUCUUGUAUCAUUCCCCCAGUAUAGAUUGUAUCAUUUCCAUCUUGCAGAGUCUAGUAACGUGAGCACAAUUGAGUAGAUUUCCAGCUAACUUCGUACAGGACUCAUAGAAAAUGGUAAAACUCUCUUUCAACUACUUCCUGAUCCUUUGCUACUAUGAGCAUCUGCAGGUGUAUGCAAACAUUGCUGUUGCUGCUGCUGGCUCCUCAGCCAUCUGGGUGUGUCCUUCUCCCCUUUUGCCUUCUUCAGUCACAGCUGGUAGUCUGGCUUGACACUGAUUUCAAGAAAGCCAAAACUUCUGUCGAACCUAGAUAGCUCCCACUCAGCUUAACCACUGAGGUCAACUCUAAAAAUAUAGCAGCAAAAAGCAUUCUUUAUCACAUAGCAAAGAGCCCUACUUGCUGGUUGCUAAGAAGUCUGACAUAUCUUCUGUACUUGAGGAAGGAAUCUAAAAAGAAAGCCAAUGAUAUUCUUCAAAGAAAAAGCGCAAAUUUCUCCCUCAUCCUCUCUAAAAUUGAUCUCCUACUGUAAGGACACCACUCUGAAGAGUUUUGGUCCAGAGGAUUUUAGCUACUUAAUCAGUGUAGUGCUCAAGGCCUUAGAUUUGUCUGACAAUGCUGCAUCACCUAUUGCCUAAAAGAAAAAGGAUUUUCCUGACCUUCACAGAAAGGAAAAUUUUUCUCACUAUUUCCAGUCUAAAGGAUUGGUGAUGAAUGGGAAGACAGACAGCAAGUCUUUCCUACUGAAGAUAUUAAAUAGGCUAACUAAGCUCUAUAAAGAGAAAAAGGAAAUCUGGAACUCCUUGUUAAAAAUCAAUACUCCAGCCAAUGUCACCAGUAAUGAUCUACAUAAAGUCCUGACCAGGAGUUUGGGGGGGGGGUGCAAUAGGGCUACUGGUUUCAUACUGCACCUGAAACAAGAAGCACCUACUAUGCUUCACUUGCAGAGGACUGCUUGCGUCUCUUGCGAGCUGUCCCUGUUAACACUGGAAAUAUGAAUAAUAGUCUCUGGAAUGGGGAGAAGAAAAGGGCAGAUAAAGAAAAGUAAAGUCAAAACAGAGACUUAUGAACAUUACAGCAAAACAGGUAAUAUUUAUCUGUAUUUAAAAAUACAAAUGUGAGAAGAACUGAGGAUAAAAAUGUGCUCUUGACUUUUGAAGGGUAAAAUAAAUAUGUGAGCCAAACAUGCAGUUUUUCAUCACUCGUACAGCACCUCCUCCAUUCCAUAUGUAGAAUGUGAUACCUCAUGUGAAUGAAGUUUCUAAACUCUCUCUUUGGCAAAAGACAAUUCAGUAGGUUAAAUAGAUAUGCAAAGUUUCUGUGUAGGGCAGAAGAAGAGUUCCAAACUAAACAAGAAGAAAAUGUGUAGCUUCAGUAAAUUUCAUGUAGAUAUUGUAAAUUUAGCAGACAUUGGAUACAUCUUGCCAUUCACCUGUCAAAAUCGUAUGUAAUCAUGUCUCCAAAUUAGUUUAGUUUGUCCUAUGCAUAGAUAGAAAUGAAAGAUAAAAACAUAUAUGGGACCAUCUUUUUCUGUCCUCCUGUGGAAUCAAAAAUGCAUACCAGUAUUCCUUAAUAUUGAAAAUAAUAAAGGAUGUGAUUACAGCAGCAAGUGAAGUAGAUAUAGAUAGAAUGCCUGUUAUCUUUGAUAUUUGAGGGGGAGAACAUCAGCAGACUAUUCUCUCGCAGCUUCAGUCCCAAAGCAGUGCUAGUGUCUUUUCUCUCCAGCUGCUCUUUUGAAAGUGCUGACUCUGAUUAAUUCAUCUCUGCUGUUUCACAAUAAGAAAACACUGAAAGCAGAGCUGGCAUGGGGCCGCUGAAAAGAACAGAUCCCCAGCAGCUGGUUAAGUAUUUUUUCUGAGCAAGAUAAUUUUUGAGGGGAGUGGUAAUAAAUUACCAUAAAUCAAAGUGAAAACUGACUGUAAAUGUAGAUGAUUUAAGUAUGUUACAUAGUUUGUGCUCAUAAAUAGGUACUCUCUGAAAACGAAAACAA